rnacentral:rRNA from 1 species
UAUGCUUAAGUAAAUGGCUGCAGUAAACUGACUGAUACUAAGGUAGCAUAAUCAUUAGUUUCUUAAUUGGGGACUGGGAUGAAGGGUAAAAACCUUGUAGAAAGUUUUAUAAAAAAAUUCUUGAAUUUAAAUUAAAAGUAAAAAUGCUUUUAUUAAACCUUGGGACGAGAAGACCCUAGAAGCUUUAAAUUAAUAAAUAAUUUUUGGUUGGGGGGACUUAAAGAAGAUAAAAAUCUUUUUUAAAUUAAAGUAGAGGAAAUACAAGUUACUCUAGGGAUAACAGCGUAAUUUAAUUUUGGAGUUCUUAUUUAAAAUUAAGUUUGCGACCUCGAUGUUGAAUUAAAUAUAGGUUGGAAGGGAGAAGUUUAAUUUGUAUAGU